UUUGGGGUAACGUAAUGACGAGAACAUUUCCCCCUUUUCAGUGUCCCGGGCCCAGGGGAUGGAGUGAGGGGGUGGAGGAGCUCCCGGCGCGCGGGUCCCGCCUGGUGCGCCAGAGAACGCGGGGACAGGCAGGCUGUGCUCCCGCCACCUGCGCGGCGGUGGGCGGCACAUGCGCUCCCCCGCGCCGCGGGCAGGGCUGCGCGCCGAGGCCCCCAGAGGCGGCUGGCCGGCCGGGCCGCGGGGCUCCGGGAGCGCUGUCCCCAGCGGGCGUGUAUUUGCGGACUCCCUGAGCACGUUCCGCGCUUUUUUUCACUUCUGCCCAGCUCUGGCCAGGUUAACUCAACUGCAGCAGGAGAGUCCAGCCCGAGUGUGGCCAUCCUGGGAAGAGGGCUCUUCAGUACGAUUUUCCCCUCUAAACUGCCGCCUUUUGCCCCCUAACUUGGAGUGCAGUUUUCCCACCGAGACUUUUAGGGAAUCCGACAGCGGCUGGGAACUUUGAAAACUUGGCAUGAGAUGUCAGCCUCCAAAGGCGGAAACCACGCUAACCCACCACAGUAGCCCAAGUGCCUAACAUAAUGCUGACCACAUGGAAGAUGCUUUGAAAAGGCUGAAUUAGUGAACAUAUAGACAUAGCCCAUGCUUCAAAUUCAUAUUUCACUGAUUUGGAAGAUUUGAUUAUUUAGAAAGGGUAUACCUGAUUUUUAUUGAGUAAAAUGUUUACAGUGAAGACAUUUAGGACAGGGAGGUUCACAGUAUUUGAGGUAAAUCAUCGUGCUUUAUUAAUACACCUUUUUUAUUAGUCACCCAUAUGUAUAUUAAUUUGUAAUAUGCAUUACAUUUGAGAGUAGUAAAAACAUUUAAUUAAAUAUCUGCAUUUCA
rnacentral:lncRNA from 1 species